UGGGGAAUUUUGACAAUGGGCGAAAGCCUGAUCCAGCAAUGCCGCGUGUGUGAAGAAGGCCUUCGGGUUGUAAAGCACUUUUGUCCGGAAAGAAAUCCUUGGCUCUAAUACAGUCGGGGGAUGACGGUACCGGAAGAAUAAGCACCGGCUAACUACGUGCCAGCAGCCGCGGUAAUACGUAGGGUGCAAGCGUUAAUCGGAAUUACUGGGCGUAAAGCGUGCGCAGGCGGUUUUGCUAAGACCGAUGUGAAAUCCCCGGGCUCAACCUGGGAACUGCAUUGGUGACUGGCAGGCUAGAGUAUGGCAGAGGGGGGUAAAUUCCACGUGUAGCAGUGAAAUGCGUAGAGAUGUGGAGGAAUACCGAUGGCGAAGGAGCCCCCUGGGCCAAUACUGACGCUCAUGCAGCGAAAGCGUGGGGAGCAAACAGGAUUAGAUACCCU
rnacentral:rRNA from 1 species